rnacentral:tRNA from 1 species
GCCUGAGUGGCUCAGUUGGUUAAGCGUCUGACUUCAGCUCAGGUCAUGAUCUCACAGUUCGUGGGUUUGAGCCCCAUGUUGGGCU